rnacentral:rRNA from 1 species
UACGUAGGUGUCAAGCGUUGUCCGGAUUUAUUGGGCGUAAAGCGCCCGCAGGCGGCUUGCCAAGUUCGAUGUGAAAUCUCCCGGCUCAACUGGGAGGGUGCAUCGAAAACUGGCAGGCUUGAGGCAGGGAGAGGGAUGUGGAAUUCCAGGUGUAGUGGUGAAAUGCGUAGAUAUCUGGAGGAAUACCGGUGGCGAAGGCGGCAUCCUGGACCGACAUUGACGCUGAUGAGCGAAAGCUAGGGGAGCAAACGGG